CCCACUGGUAGGAAAUAGGUGUUGGUAGGUGGUGAAGAUCCUCAAUAUGUGGAAGGAAAAAAUAAAACCAAAUAGUGCUCUCUGUAUGCAAUAACAGGUGAUUGGUAAUUUAAAGGUAUAAUACUCACAUGCAGGUGAGCAGGAUAUACUGCUCACUUUAAUAGCGUGGGUGGUAUAAUCCCCACCUAGGAUUCUUGAGUGAGUGGAUAUUCCAGAGUAUUAG